rnacentral:sRNA from 1 species
UACGGUGUUGAAACCGCAAAAACAAUUUGAAGAGCCUGAUGGGAAUUGGAUCUUUGGUUUUUCUUUCGUGUUUCAUUAGUAAAUUAAAAGCAACAUUUUGUGGGUCGGAUAUUCACCUUGUUCUUGGAGUGAUUGUUUUUCUUUUUGCAGAAACAAAGAAACAUUGUAAGCUCUAAGCUCGUGUGAAGCUAGUUAACGUAAGCUCAGUGCAGAGUUUUCUUUAUUUAGGGACUAUUUGGAACUUUUGAGUUGUGCUGUGACGUGUCUUAAUUAAUGUCCCUAGGGUGUUUGGAAUAUUCUUGACUUCAUUACGGAGCGCAUCUGGCAGAAUGGGAAAUCAUUAUUAACAUUCGACGCAGCUUUCUCAUUAACAAAAGUCACGUGGGGAAUCCCAGAAAGGGGCGGAGUCAAUUCUAGACACAGUGGACAAACAAAGACAACAAGAGGAAGUUUUUUUUUUCUGCACUACUUCCUAACAAUUGCUAAUGACUUUUACGACAAUCAUUUCCUACAUUGAUUAAGAAAAAUCUUUGAACGACUUCUACUUUGUGAUACAUUUAUCUGGAUUUAAAAACAACAACUUUUUCUGCGUUGGAAAUCAAAGGUGCGAGCUAAAUACGUUACACUUGCUGUAUUGCUAAACAAAUAUUCACUAACUUUUUAUAGUGAAGAAAAAGAACUAGACUAGGUAGAUCUAGGUCUAGCGACUGCAGAACAAGAGAACCUGACGGAUAUAAAAUGACAAAGCUGUGCUUGUGUUUGCUACUAUUGAUUGUGUGCGUUGUUAGCAGGUUGGAAGUCAGCGGUCUUGAAACAUGGCCUCCAUGUUUGACACAGCUUGGCCUUAGGUACGGUGCUUACCAAAGUUGGCCUGAUUUUCAAAUAGAAACCAACAGUGGUGUCCCCCACCAUGUUAGACUGAAUGGACCGAAAGCCUGGAUUCCCGAGAAAAAUAAAAAUAAUUAUGUCAA